rnacentral:rRNA from 1 species
CCUACGGGUGGCUGCAGUGGGGAAUAUUGGACAAUGGGCGAAAGCCUGAUCCAGCCAUGCCGCGUGUGUGAAGAAGGCCUUCGGGUUGUAAAGCACUUUCAGUGGGGAAGAAAGCCUUGGGGCUAAUACCCUCGAGGAAGGACAUCACCCACAGAAGAAGCACCGGCUAACUCCGUGCCAGCAGCCGCGGUAAUACGGAGGGUGCGAGCGUUAAUCGGAAUUACUGGGCGUAAAGCGCGCGUAGGCGGUCUGAUAAGCCGGUUGUGAAAGCCCCGGGCUCAACCUGGGAACGGCAUCCGGAACUGUCAGGCUAGAGUGCAGGAGAGGAAGGUAGAAUUCCCGGUGUAGCGGUGAAAUGCGUAGAGAUCGGGAGGAAUACCAGAGGCGAAGGCGGCCUUCUGGACUGACACUGACGCUGAGGUGCGAAAGCGUGGGUAGCAAACAGGAUUAGAUACCCGGGUAGUC